AGAGUUCAAAGAGACACUGUUUACUUGCAUGGGCAGAAGCAUGAGAGUCAGAGAGGCCUUGAGACCAGACGACUUCUUUGCCUACAACAUGAACAGCACGACUGCAAUGCCGAGAAUCAGGGAAUGCACAUACGACCACAUCCCCACGGAACAAAAAUACUUAUUUGCAGUGCUGCAGUAUGUGCACAAUUUUAUGUCGGGAUAGGAACAAAAGAAGCAAAGAAAAUGA